rfam:Phaseolus vulgaris cultivar G19833 chromosome 6, whole genome shotgun sequence.
AGGUGUGAUCAUACCAGCACUAAUGCACCGGAUCCCAUCAGAACUCCGCAGUCAAGCGUACUUGGGCGAGAGUAGUACUAGGAUGGGUGACCUCCUCGGAAGUCCUCGUGUUGCACUUC